rnacentral:lncRNA from 1 species
AGAGCUAGAAACAUCAAAUAGUAGAGAGAGAAGAGAACUCUAAAUUCCAUAAUAUUUUGACAAUGUUAAUUUAUUAUCUGAUAUGAUAUAAUUUAUAAAUAUUUUUAAAUAUAAUUAAAUUAUUUAUUGAAUCUAUGUAUUAAUGUUUGAAAAUACGUCACAUCAGAUAAUAAAUAAAAAACAGUCAGAUAAGCGUAAUAUUGUUUGAUAUUAAUGCUGUUAAAUAAUGAGAAGAAGGAUUUUAAAUAAUGAUUAAUAAAUGUCCCUUUUAUCUUAAAUUACUGAACUCCACCAAUAACUAAUACCCUGAUACAAAGUUGUGUUUGAAACAUAGAUUCAGUGAGAAAAAAUUAUAUGAAAAUAUAAAAGUUAAACGAUUUAAUUAUUCAAAACUAUAAAAUAAUAUAUCUUUUUCAUUUUAGUUUUCCUUUUUCUAGCCAGAUCCUUUAUCCAAAGAAGCUGCCUCCCUGUGGUUGAAUACUCGAACGUGGAAUAUCAUAAAAACAGAAAAAAUAAGAAAAACAAGGGUAAAUUAUAAGAAUGGUCCCUGUAGUUUUGCAUAUUUUCAAUUCUGGUCUUUGUAUUUUUAAAUUAUGUGAUUUUGACUUUGUAUUUUACAUUUAUUGUCAAAUUAGUCCAAUUGAUAGUGAAAUUUAGAAUUUUGGAUGAAUUUUGAAUACAUGAACAACAUUUUUCUGGUGAUUUACAAUGGAAUUGGAUAUAUUACAGUAGGGUUUGAAUGAUUUAUCGUGAAAAUUGGGUGAAAAUGGGAGAAAAGUUCAAUUUUAUCUCUAAAAUACUGGUAUAUGUCAUAAAAGUAUAAACAAAUGUCCAAAAACAUAACGGCCGUUACUAAUUGGACUGAUUAUAACAAAAAAUAAAAAUAAAAACUUCUGAAUUUAAAAAUAUAAGGAUCAAAAUUUAGGACAAGUAAAAAUACAGGGACACUGUUUACAAUUUAUCCGAAAAACAAAAAAACCUGCCUCCAUCCACACACACACACACACUCUCCACUACCAAUAUAUACGUACCCACUUCUCCCUCUCUCCACCCAAUCUCACAACACCCAAAAAAUUGAGGUUUUGGCUGAUAUCUCCUCUCUCUCCGGGAGCCACCCUGACGCCGAUUCCUAGCUGAGGCGGCAGCGGAGAUCUAAGCUCUGUCAUAAGUAGAGAGAGCAAGGGGAUUUAUAGCUAUGAUUCUUUUGUUUCUGCUGCUUGAGGUCUUUGGGACUUUUGGAAACACUGGUGAUGCUGUGACCAGGAAGAGAGAGGUUGCUGCUUUUCUCGCUCAAACUUCACAUAAAACUACUGGUAAUUUCAAACAUGUUUUUUAUAUAACAAUUAUUAUGUACCAAAAAACAUUUUAAGGACAGCGACUAGUCGCGUCUAAGUGUCUUCCAUCGGUCUUAGGACCAAUUUUUGUUUUUAUAACUCAGUUUUGGUCGAGUCGGGUAAAGUUUCGUAUGGACAGACUCAACUCAAAAAUUAAUUGAUAGCACUUAAAAAGUUUCGAACUAAAGAAUUAAAAUGGAAUAGAUCUCCAAGUCUCAGGCUUAAAUCAUCAAUUUCACAGCUUGUUUUAUUAAGAUCCAGUUUUGUUUUCAGUGAACUUUUUUGGCAUUUAAUUAAAAAUUUAUACUUUUUCAGUUUCUUUUGACGAGAAGAGCUCGAAAAUAAAAAAUAAUCUAAUUUGAAAAAAAAUAUACUAAAUUCGAAAAAAAAUCAUUUUAGAUGGUUUUUCGGAUAAAAAUAAUUUCAUUCGUCUUGAGUAACCUUUUUUUCUAAAUUAGAUGACAAUUUUUAUGUAAUAAUUAUAAAUACAAUUUUAAUAAUUUAUUAAAAUUAUUGAGUUUACAAAAAAAGAAAUGUCUAGAAAUGUCUUUUUUCGUCAAUAAGUUUUUUUUUAAAUUAGAUAAUUAUUUUAUAUAUUUUUGAACUCUUCUCGUCAAGAAAAAAUAAAAAAUUUGUGGUAUUAGAGAGCUGCUUUUGUUCAGUGUAGUGACCCUAGUGGGCGAUGAUGGUGGUAUGGUGAUUUAUGCCGGAUGUCAAUGAAUUCAACGGCUGCUAUGGGCUGUGCUGUGAGUGACAAUCCAUUGGGAUGGGGUAGAGCUAGAAACAUCAAAUAAUAGAGAGAGAAGAGAACUCUAAAUUCCAUAACAUUUUGACAAUGUUAAUUUAUUAUCUGAUGUGAUAUAAUUUAUAAAUAUUUUUAGAUAUAAUUAAAUUAUUUAUUGAAUCUAUGUAUUAAUUUGAAAAUACGUCACAUCAGAUAAUAAAUAAAAAACAAUUAGAUAAGCGUAAUAUACAAUUAGAUAAGCGUAAUAUUGUUUGAUAUUAAUGUUGUUAAAUAAUGAGAAGAAGGAUUUUAAAUAAUGAUUAAUAAAUGUCCCCUUAUCCUUAAAUUACGACUCCAACAAUAACUAUACCUUGAGGCAAAACUGUAUUUUUUUUAUACUGCAAUCUCUAACUUAAUAUAUAAAUACAACUUAUGACAUAGUACGGAAGUUAAUAAAGAAGAGUAAAGGAAACACAUAAAUUAGAAAAACGUCCUAUUAAUCUAAGGAAGGAAUCUUCCUAAUUCCAACCGUAAGUAUAACACAACUUUCAAAGUACCCAUAAAAAAGCUCACACGUCGAUUUAUAGGAAGUAUUGGGAUCAUUUAACUAAAGAGCAAUUGGCAAAGCCUCAAAGCUAUGCAGAUUGCAUCCAUUAGUGUCGUCCCGGAGUUCCGAUGUUUGGAAUCAAUUCCUCUACACCUACCUUUCAAGUUAUCGAUAGAUCGAAAACAGAAAUAUAAAUGCGGGCUGAUAUCAAUAUUUACAGCAUGAAUUUUGUAAAAUCACCCAUUCUAGGUUAGGUGUAGUAGCAUGUGAUUUUAAAUGCAUUGAAUUUGAAAAAAUGACAGUAAAUCCAGGAACAGUCCCAAGGGGUCGCAGCCCCAAACUUUGACAAAUUUAUAAUAUUAAUCGCAUCUUAUUUCGAAUUCAAAAACUAUCUCUUACUAUUUACGGGUAAAAUCUAUUUGGGUUAAUCCAACGGCUGAGAUUUCAUCUAAAAUUAUUUUUUUCUCUCAAAACUAUAUUUCCAGUCUUUUUUCAAGAUGUUGAGCCCCACAUAAAUUCCAAUGGCAAAACUCUAAAAGUUAUGGCAUAUAUUUUAUCUAUUGAAUCAUUUUUUAGUAGAACCCACAUACAUAAAAAAAAUUUAUUUCUCCUUUAUUUCUCUCAAACUAGCAAUACUUUUUCAAAAUCAAUAUAUUUUCUAAUUUAUUUUUUAUUUUGUAGCAAUAUAUCUCUUCGUAUAUACAUCCAAUGUAUCUUUUAUCUGAUUUUUAUAUCUUAUCUGUUUUGUAAUUUGUAAAACUCUAACGAGUACGCCUAAGAGGUAAUUUUUUUUGAGCAGUGCCUAUAGGCAUGAGCAAUUACUAGUGCUCAAUAACGCAAUAUAAUUUUUGAUAUUUACAUGGUAAGUAUGCACAUCCCUAAUAAUUUAGUUUAAUGCCUCCAAAAUUUAAACAAAUAUUUAUCCUAGGCUCCGUUUGGAUAUGUAGAUUUCAAAUCAAGAAAUUUUAUAUUUUAUUUAAUAAAAAUAACUUACAUUAAGAUUUAGUAGUCGACGUAGAGAUUUCGAGCUUGAAUUUGAGAGUUUUAUUAUUAUGUAAUAUGAUGAAUUUAAAAUAACAAAUUAAUAAGAGAGAUUUAAAAUCUUUUAUACAAAUGCUUAAAAUACCCUUCCCAAAGAAAAAGAAAGAAAUAAAAGUGUAGUUGUAUGAGAAGGAAUAAUUCCGGUAAUGAGCAAAAAUAUUAAGGAUAUUAUUGUAAUCUUACAUAUAAAAAUAAAAAAUAUUUAAUAAAAAGUAUAGUGCAUAAAUCCCUAACCUAUUAAAAACUAAUAAUUCUUCUUAGGUAAGGACCUCUUGUACUGAAGAUUUGAAGCUUCUAGCUUGAUUUUUUCUCACAGCUUUGUGGUCAACUCUCACCAUUCCUCCUUUCGCCUCCCCAUACGUUUUCUUACAUUUUGGUCCGUAAUACAUGUGAAUACACAUUGAUGAAAGUCGUCAUUCACGUAGCCGCCCGAGUAACUAUUCUCAGUCUAUGAGUACAAUAUGUAUACACGGGUGUACUGUACGUAACAUUUUUACAACCUGACAUUUACAAUAACACUAAAUCAUAAAGAUUAAAGACAAAAAAUUCACACAACAAAACCCAGAAGAAUUCAGUGUACAGACUUUCUAAAAUUCUUUUGAUUUUCAGAAUUUAUUCAAAAAAAUAUGUUCAAACUCCAAAAACUUAUUAAAUAUCAUUGCAGUCUAUGUACCGGUUGAGGAGGAAUUUUGCGUAACCUUUGUGUGCAGUACGUCAAAGACGCCAAUACAGCCUCCCGAGAACGUACAAUAGAAUGAGUAUUGACUUGUCAGAUGUUCAGAUUUUACACAAUUUGGAUACAGGAUACAGCGUUACAAGUUCUUUCCAGCCAGCCGGUUUGGUACUGAGUUUAGCUCCUAUGGCGUCGAUCCGAAUAUAUUUUGCAAAUAUUUUGAUGAUACAUAUUUCUAUCUUAUUGCUCUUAAUGGUAGUAGUAAUUCAAGUAUGUUAGUUCAUCUCAAAAUUAUUCCAAGAGUCACAGCCAUUCUCACAAGGACACAAAAAGAAACACGAAAUAUUUGGGACUGCCAACAAGAAACCUUCAACACUGAAGGAUCAAAAAAUGGAAAACCGUUGUUCAGGUGUGUAUUAUUUUGUAAAUGCUCUUAGUAAUGGUUUACAACAAUUUUGUUAGGGCGUCUAAAAAAUGCUACCGUAAUAUAGUCCUUUCAUGGCCGCAUUAAUUAAAAAUACAAUAAGUGCAUUAAAACUUAGAUUUAUUACAAAAAUGUGCUACAAGCAAAAAUGUAUGUUCAUUUUGAAUAUUUACUAUGUCAAUGUGUGUAAAAAAUUGGGCUAGUUGACAAUAAUUGUUUUGACAUUGUGUUGCAAAAGCAUUUGUUUCAAUUUUGUAAAAACUAUUGCUAGCAACAAUUUUUGACUUUGAAAAUUGAUUCCAAGUUUUGAAAACAUAAUGUUAGCAACAUUUUCUGACUUGAAAUUUGGUUCCAAGUUGAAAAAUAUGUUAACACAAAUAAAGAGAACAAAUUUCUGACUUGAAAAUUUGGGUUCCAACUUUCUGACAAAUUGGAUAGGCACCUAUUUUCUGACUUUGCAAAAUUUGGUUCCAACUUCUGAAAAAAAUUGGAUAGCAACAAUUUACUGACUUUGAAAAAUGUGGUUAACAGAGCUGAGCGUGUUGAAAUUGGUAUAAUAAUUUCCUGACUUUGAUAUAAAUGUGGUUGCAUACUUUUGCCAAAAAUUGAAUAGCACCAUUUUUCUCAUUUUCGACUUUGAAUGUGGGUUGGAACUUUGAAAAUUUGGUACAGUAUAAUUUUCUUUCUGACUUUUGAAAAUGUGUGUGUGUGGCCAACUUUUGAAUUAGAGAAUCAAAAAAAAAAUAAAGAAUAGCAACCCAUUUCUGACUUGACAUGGUAUUUUCAAAUUUGAAAAUUGGCGUAAGAAAACUAGCAAAACUUCAAAUUCCAUCUUACCAACUCGGUUAUAGUUCUUCCUAGAAGCUAUAAAAUCAUAUCCUUUACGCUCUCAUUUUUUAUCUUGGAAUCUUAUGGAGAAUCAAAGAACUCAAAGCAUUCUUCAUUCUUCAUUUUCCAAAAUUCCCCUUUGAGCCUUCAAUUUAUUCAUACAAGAGUUCUCGUGAGAGAGACAUUGUAAAAGCUUCAUUUGUAUAUCCUUCUCAAAAGGAGAAUUGUUAUUGUGAGAGAAAUCUCAAAUCUAUUUCAGUCGAUUGUAUCUAGAGGGUUGUUUUGACCCUGUUUAGGUGUGAAGGAAAUUUUCCACCUUGUGAGAAGAGUGUGUACUCUUGCGUGUAAGGUUUGAACUCCACCUGCACAGGAGUUUGGCGGAUUAGUGUUGAUUGAAAUCUUCAAGUGUUGUGCUUUGGGAGUGACGUAUGUCAGGAAGACCGAACCACUAUAAAUUAUAGCCGAGUUUUGAUCUCUUUCCUUCUCGUUGUAUUAGUGUGCUCAUAUUUAUACGCUCGGUGCAUUAUACUGCUUUUUAUAUCAUUUGGAAACUCUUAAUUCAGUAUAAUUUAUUAAAAGAAAAGUUUUGCCAACAAACCCUAUUCCCCCCCCUCUAGGGUUAAUUUCUGGGUAACAAGUGGUAAUCAAGCAGGACUCUACAUUUUUCGGUAUCUAAAACGAUCUAGGAUUAAAAAGAUCUAUGGCCACAUAAUAGGAACACAUAUGGCCGAAUGCCAUUCCAUACAUAGACUCUGCUUUCCACUUAUUCGUCCGGAUAGUAAUUUAUAGAUUAUUGUGAAGGCUAGAAUUAAAAUUUUAUAUUCAGUGCCAAUGAUUAUGCAUGUUUGUCGAGCAUUAACAAAGCAUGGACCUAUUGCGUCCCACAAAAUAACUGAAAGUGGAGAGUGGUUACUAUAAACCUCAAAGAAUGGACUAUCGUAGAUACAAAAGCACAUGUAACAAAAUAAUGCUCAAGCCAACUUACACCACUUUUUAUAUUGUGCCUUACAGACGUAACGCAUUAAAUAAAUCUCCGGUGGUGAAACGGCUAAGGAAAUUGUUGGGAUAAGACACGUAAGAAUCCACCCAUGCGAACUGGACCAUCAAGUAAAAGGAAUCAAAAAUAAGUAUGUUAGGUUCAUUAAUACGAAUUUUUAAAAAUGAAUCAAGUGAUACUAAUGUAUCUGCAAUGUGUUCUACCUCGUUUUUUUAACCGAUAUGAUGUGUUCAUUAAUGGAGUGUAAGAGUCGCGCUGUAAAGUUUGUAUACAAUGUCGAAAUGGUGCGAGUAAUGCAUUGCUUAGGUGUCAUUAUCCACAAGAAGUUGGGAGACCAAACGUAUACCUGCCAUUGAAGAAUGCCAAAAGUAGCCCAUCACCAAAAAUGGGUCUUGAUGAAUUGGCUUGGAUCUCUCAUACACUGAAAUCACCUUGAGAGCAAUGAGGAAAAUGACGAAGGUAAAAAAAGAGAGAAAUUGCUUUCAAACCUCAUCAGCACAAACAAUGAUGAACCUCAACAUGAAUGAGGAAGUGAUGAAGAUAUGGCUCUCUUAAACGAAGAUUUACAGAUUUCAAAAGAGGUCAUUUCCUAGAAGACAAGGACGACCGAAACUUCGACAAAAAUGAAGACAAAAGAAGGACCCCCCAUCAUUUGCUUUGAAUGCAAAAAGCCCGGUCACAUGAAAGUUUGAUUGGCCAAAUCUCAAGAAAGAUCAAACGAGAUAGAGAAAUAUCAAAUUUGAAAAAUUCAAGAAGCUUUUCGGCUUGGGGAGAAAUUGACGUUGACACAUCCGAUGAUGAGUCCGGUGAUUCAAGAAGUGGCAAUUGUGUUCUUGUUCCUCAAGAAGAUAUAAAAAUGAGGUACAAUCUCGAAUCCAUUCCUUAAAUGAUUUACAAGAUGAUUAUGAUGAUUUAUAUUAGGGAAUCAUUGAAAUUAAUAACAAACAUUGCAUGCUUUAAAACAAUUGCCAUCACUUUCUAUUGAAAUAGAAACCUUUUGAAGAAGCUGGCUAAUGAGUGACAAGUAAAUAUUGAACUACUGAUACAAUUUUAGAUCUAACAAAAUGUCUUGGAAAAAUUUACAAAAGUCAAAAGAUUUUGGAUCUACUUCUUGGAUCACAAAGAUGUGUAUAUGAUCCGUGCGGGAUUGGACACAAUAUUCAACUAACAAAAUUAUAUAAAUAUCUUUGUGUGAAUCAACUUCUUUUUCGACCACAAAAAUUUCAUGCACAGAUUGCAAUCCUAAGGGCAUACUCAAAAACAUGCUAUGUGAAGAAUGUGUUAGGUAAAGGAUUAAAAAACAAUAUGGGGACCUAAGAAGAAAAAUGCUACUAACAUUCAAGGACCCAACCAGAUUUGGGUACCAAGACAAUGGUUGAUCUUGUAUAAGGUUGCUGAAUGAAUUCAAAGAAAGGAGGAGGGGGGGGGGGGGGGGUGGUACUUGUAGUGGAUGCUCAAGACAUUGACUCGGAGAAUAAAUCCACCUUUCGCAUACUAAUCCAAAGGAUGUGGAUUUGUGACCUUCGAGACAAUAGCAAGGAAAAAUCUCGUAUAGUUAAUGGGGUAGGAACCUUCUCCUUUAUAUAAAAUGUUUACUUGUUGAUGGAUUAAAGCAUAACUUUACUUAGUAUUAGUCAUAUGUGAUACGGAAAAUAAAGGCAUCUUUGACAAAUAUGUGCCCAUAGAAAAAUAUCAAAGAUGAUAAAACUUAUUUAAUUGUCAAAGAAUUGAAAUGUAAUUUUUUUUGUUAAAAAUUGAUGACGUUGAGCCAACAAAUGGACUUGCUUAUCAGCCAUGAAUGACAAACGGUUGGCUAUGGCCAUAAAGGCCUUGGGCAUUCUCUAUAGAUCUUAUUUCAAAACUUGCUAAAAGGAUUGGUAAUUGGGCUAACCAAAAAUUUCUUUUGAAAAGAUAGUUGUGUGGAGCAUGUCACCAAGGACAACAAACAAAGUGUCUUUUAAGUCAAAAAUAUCGUUUCUUCUCUCUCUUCUAACAUCUAAGGCCUCUACAACUUCUACACACAUGGACCUUAAUUGGUCCUUCAAGACAAUGAAGUUCGUGAGGAAAUUAUACAUUCUUGUGAUUUGUGAUGAUUUUUUCUCGAUUUACAUGGUAACAUUUUUAGCUCACAAAAAUUAAGCAUUUUCCUCAUUUCACAAAAACUUGCCGACGUCUCAAAUGAUAAAGAACUAAGACCUCAAAAUUUCUACAUUAGAACCGAUCAUGGGAAAGACUGAAAUUGAGUCUUUUUGCCAAAUUUUGUGAUAUCUCGGAUUGGACUAAUUUCUCGGCACCUAGGACCCCUCAACAAAAAGGCUUGUUGAAAGAAAAAAUAGAACUUUGGAAGAAAUGGCAAGAACAAUGCUUUGCGAAAACUCUCGUCCAAAAUAACUUUGGGCUUAAAAGCUGUGAACACGCAUGCUUUAAUUUAAUCGAGCCAUGAUUUAGGCCAAUCUUAAAAGACACCUAUGAGCCUUUGGAAAGAAGAAACCAAAUAUUGGGUUCUUUCAUUGCUUUGGAUGCAAUGCUUAUGUCCCUAAAUAUGGGAAGGACAACUAGGAAAAUUCGAUCAAUCGGAUGAAGCUUUUUCUAGGAUAUUCAAUUACAACACAGCUUUUUCGAGUUUUUAACAAACGAACUUUAGUAGUUGAAGAAUCCUGCAUGUUGGUAUUUGAUGAAUAUAAUGAUCCUUCUUUUCAAGUGCUUCAAGAAAGUUAGGAAUUGAAAAGCAUGGAAAAUAUUGAAAUCUCUCAAGAACGCAGAUACUCAAGGAGAAGCCACUGAAAAACAAAUUGCAACUAGAGGUAGUACUUACCUCAAAUUGAAAAUCACGUGGGAAACCUCAAAAGCAAAGAAGGUGGAAGCUCACAUCUCCCAAAGAAUGGAGAUAUGUUUUUCACAACCACCAACAAUCUCAUUAUUGGUGAUCCAUCAAAAGGGUAACUACUAGAACUCUAUAAAAUUUAUUGGGCAUCUUGCAUUCUAUUCUCAAUAGAACCUAAAAUUUUCAUGAAGCUGAAUUUGAUGAAUAUUGGCUUCUAGCUAUGCAAGAGAACUCAAUCCAUUCGAAAGAAAGCAAGUUUGGACUCUAGUACUAGGCAUCAAAUCAUCCUCAUAUUGGCACUAAAUGGUAUUUAGAAAUAAACUUGAUGAAUCCGGAAUCAUUGUUAGAAAUAAAGCUAGACUUUUGGCCCAAGGAUAUAGUUCAAGAAGAGGAAUAGAUUUUGAUGAUAAUUUGCUCUCCCGUAGCUAGAUUGGAAGCUAUUUCGAAUGUACAGCCUUUGCAUGCUAAUAUGGACUUCAAUUAUAUCAAAUGGAUGUAAAAAGUGCAAUUCUUAAAUGGAUUUAUUACCGAGGAAGUGUUGUGCCACCUCGCCGGGUUUGGAGAAUCAUGAAUUGCCCAAUCAUGUCUUUAACUUUCAAAGCACUCUAUGGACUUAAGCAAGCUCCAAGACGUGGUAUGAAAGACUUAGCAAAUAAUUUAAAUGAUACUAGUUUUUGGCAAGAGGGAAAAUAGAUAAUACACUUUUUAUAAAAAUUGAAGAAUAAGGACAUGCUCAUCGUCCAAGAUAUGUUGAAUGAUAUUAUAUUUGGUGCUACUAUGAGAAUAUUGCAAAGAAUUUGGCUAAAGAGCAUGCAAAGGAGAAUUCGAUGACAUAUUGGGGAGGCUAACUUUCUUCCUUGGACUAACAAAUCAAACAAUCAAGCGAAGGGACAAUUUAUAAUCAGCAAAUACACAAAGGAGCUUCCUCAAGCGUUUGGCAUGAUAGAAGCAAAACCGCUAGGCACCACCGAACCCCAUAUGGGCACAUCAAUAAGCCUUGACAAAGAUGAAAUGGUAAAAAUGUUGAUGAACAAGCCUCUAAUCGAGGUAUGAAUUGGCUCUUUUGCUCUAUUUAAAACAAAACGGAAGUAGGCCGGAUAUCAUGUUUUAGUGUAUGCCAUAUGUGCUAGAUUUCAAUCAUGUCCUAAGGAAUCAACUUUAAGUUUGCUGUGAAACGCUAUUUAGAUAGCUCAUAGAAACGUAUGACUUAGGAAUAUUCAUCCUAGGGUAGUUGCAUUUGAAUUAAAUGAUUCCUCCGAUGCCGACUAUACGCCGGAUUGUAGAUAGAUCGAAAGAGCACAAGUGGCACUUGCAUUCCUAGGACACUCUCUAGUGUCAUGGUCUAGCAAGAAACAAAAUUCCGUUGCUUUAUCAACCGCCGAGGCGGAAUAUGUGGCCGCGGAAGUUGUUGUGCCAUUCCUUAUUGGAGGAAACAACAAUGGAGGAGUAUGGUUUAAUUUGAUCAUAUUCCCAUCAAAUGUGAUAAUACACGUGCUAUAAAUUUUGUCUAAGAGCCCCAAUUAAUACAACACUCAAAGAACAAACCUAUUGAAAUUCGACAUCUCAUUUUUUAAAGAUCACGUCCCAAAGGGGGAUUUGACUUCAAUAUAUUCCUACCGACAAGCAUUGGCGGCUAUUUUUAACAAAACCCCUUGAUUGAAAAAAGAGAUUUUGCUAUAUUCCGAACUGAACUGUAAUGGUCUAAACCAAGUGAUAUUUUUGGAUCUUAAAAUAAAUUUAUAAGUAUAAGUUGAGUCAUAGUUGAGAAAGAAUAGUUCGGGACUGAAUGUAUUCAAUGCCUAAUCUCCGACAAACAAUUUUUUUCCUUUCUUUGAAUUGUUAUCUUGAUUUGAUAUGUGAUAAAUAAGAUUAUCAAAAAGCUGAGGUACUGAUAUUAUGAUAAGAACUAUGAGAUCUCUAUAUGCUUAUAUGCGAAAAUGUAAGUAUGUAAUGUCUGACAAUGAGAGUUGUUCUUUAUUUUGAUAAAACUAUCCCUUUUGAUAAUUUCAAAACUCCUCUAAAUGAAAGAAUUUUAAGAUUUGAGGUUUUAGUGCAAAAAUCUUUUGGUUUAUUCACCACUCAAAUUAUCUUUCGUUAAACAUCCUAUGUGUUUAAUUGGUAUCUAAUACUAGCAUGUGAGAUAACAAGAAAAUAUUCUUGGUCAAAAAUUUUUUAAAAAAACUCCUUCAUUAUGUUUUCAUAUGUGAUUGUUUGAUUAGUUGAAAUACAUGCAUAUCAUCAUACUUAUGCACCAACUUAGGGGAGCACUACAUAUUGGUACCACUUUGGUAGGGUAUCCUACAUUUACCUUCAUUGAAAUUAGACAUCAUAUCUUUAUUUCGUGAUCCUGUCAAAAAGAAGAUGUAGACCUAGAUUUUAUAAGUACUGGAUUUCAAUGGGUUGACAUCUUCAUAAAACCACUUCAAGAGAUCGUUCUGCAACCAUUCGAAGAGACCUUGGUAAAUGUGUAGACCACAAAUAUUAACAUAAUAUUUUAGGUUAUUUAUUUUAUAUUUUUUUAUAUAGAAUAAUUUACUAUUAUUCUGAAUCAAAUUACCUGUUUAAGUUUUCAAGAAAAUCUUAGCUUUUUCGGACUUCAACACGAACUCUCCUGGUUGCUCUUGUAAGACGGUUUUUAUCAUCUCUAGUUUUCUGAAUACUCUUUUUCCAUAUCAUUAGCAUAUGAUCGACAUUUCUCUUCACUCUUUAUUCCUCCUGCUGAAGACUUCUUUCCUUCGUUGCAAGUUUCAAACUUGAGAGUCCUUAGCUCUUGACUGCAUUUCCCUCGACUUGUAACGUCGAGCCAUAAUUUGCAACGAAGAUGCACCCUGGAUUACUGAGUGCCAUAGGAGUCCUUAAUGGCUUCAAUAUCAAUUCCAUAUUCCUCUAUAACUUUUCCAUCUUGUGGAGUACUGAUUCCUUUAGGCUAACUGAUGCAGCAAACUGCAUCAUCCGCAUCACAGAGCCAUUGUUAUGAUAGGUCUUUUUUGAGAUAAGGGUUAAUGAACGCCAGAUUCUGGUUGUACAUUAGGCAUAUCAUUCACGAUCAAAUUUCUUUUUGAGAAGAAGAAGAAGCCAUUUUUGAAAACUAAGAAAGAAACUGGUUCA